rnacentral:rRNA from 1 species
UACGGCGGGGGUAAGCGUUAUCCGGAAUCACUGGGUUUAAAGGGUGCGUAGGCGGCUAAAUAAGUCAGAGGUGAAAGCUUGCAGCUUAACUGCGAAAUUGCCUUUGAUACUGUAUAGCUUGAAAGGAGCUGAGGUCAGCAGAAUGUGGCAUGUAGCGGUGAAAUGCAUAGAUAUGCCAUAGAAUACCAAUUGCGAAGGCAGCUGGCUGGGCUUACUUUGACGCUGAGGCACGAAAGCGUGGGGAUCGAACAGG